rnacentral:rRNA from 1 species
GAUGAACGCUAGCUACAGGCUUAACACAUGCAAGUCGAGGGGCAGCACAAGGUAGCAAUACUGAGGUGGCGACCGGCGCACGGGUGAGUAACACGUAUCCAACCUACCAUUUACUCUUGGAUAGCCUUUCUGAAAAGGAGAUUAAUACAAGAUAGCAUCACGAGAAUUCAUGUUCACGUGAUUAAAGAAUUUCGGUAAAUGAUGGGGAUGCGUUCCAUUAGAUAGUAGGCGGGUAACGCCCACUAGUCUACGAUGGAUAGGGGUUCUGAGAGGAAGGUCCCCCCAAACUGGUACUGAGACAUGGACCAGACUCCUACGGGAGCAGCAGUGAGGAAUA